AUUGAACGCUGGCGGCAGGCCUAACACAUGCAAGUCGAGCGGAUGAAGGGAGCUUGCUCCUGGAUUCAGCGGCGGACGGGUGAGUAAUGCCUAGGAAUCUGCCUGGUAGUGGGGGAUAACGUCCGGAAACGGGCGCUAAUAACGCAUACGUCCUGAGGGAGCAAGUGGGGGAUCUUCGGACCUCAUGCUCUCAGAUGAGCCUAGGUCGGAUUAGCUAGUUGGUGGGGUAAAGGCCUACCAAGGCGACGAUCCGUAACUGGUCUGAGAGGGUGAUCGGUCACCAUAGAAGGUGACAGGCGACCAGGGGCCUGAGGGAAGGAACAGUGGGGAAUAGGAGGCAACAGGGGGAAAUCUUGUCCAACCGUGGGAGGGGUGAUAAGAAGGUCUUCGGAUUGUAAAGCACGUUAAGUUGUGGGAAAGGGCAGUAAGUUAAUACCUUGCUGUUGUGACGUUACCAACAGAAUAAGCACCGGCUAACUUCGUG
rnacentral:rRNA from 1 species